CAGCAGCCGCGGGAAUACGAAGUGGGCUAGCGUUGCUCGGAAUGACUGGGCGUAAAGGGCGCGUAGGCGGAUUGUUUAGUUAGGCGUGAAAUUCCUGGGCUUAACCUGGGGACUGCGCUUGAUACAGGCAGUCUAGAGUGAGGAAGAGGAUUGUGGAAUUCCCAGUGUAGAGGUGAAAUUCGUAGAUAUUGGGAAGAACACCGGUGGCGAAGGCGGCAACCUGGUCCUUGACUGACGCUGAGGUACGAAAGCGUGGGGAGCAAACAGGAUUAGAUACCCCGGUAGUCCCUGUCUCUUAUAC
rnacentral:rRNA from 1 species